GGGUUGUGAGGUUAAGCGACUAAGCGUACACGGUGGAUGCCCUGGCAGUCAGAGGCGAUGAAGGACGUGCUAAUCUGCGAUAAGCGUCGGUAAGGUGAUAUGAACCGUUAUAACCGGCGAUUUCCGAAUGGGGAAACCCAGUGUGAUUCGUCACACUAUCAUUAACUGAAUCCAUAGGUUAAUGAGGCGAACCGGGGGAACUGAAACAUCUAAGUACCCCGAGGAAAAGAAAUCAACCGAGAUUCCCCCAGUAGCGGCGAGCGAACGGGGAGCAGCCCAGAGCCUGAAUCAGUGUGUGUGUUAGUGGAAGCGUCUGGAAAGGCGCGCGAUACAGGGUGACAGCCCCGUACACAAAAAUGCACAUGCUGUGAGCUCGAUGAGUAGGGCGGGACACGUGGUAUCCUGUCUGAAUAUGGGGGGACCAUCCUCCAAGGCUAAAUACUCCUGACUGACCGAUAGUGAACCAGUACCGUGAGGGAAAGGCGAAAAGAACCCCGGCGAGGGGAGUGAAAAAGAACCUGAAACCGUGUACGUACAAGCAGUGGGAGCCUCUUUAUGGGGUGACUGCGUACCUUUUGUAUAAUGGGUCAGCGACUUAUAUUCUGUAGCAAGGUUAACCGAAUAGGGGAGCCGAAGGGAAACCGAGUCUUAACUGGGCGUUAAGUUGCAGGGUAUAGACCCGAAACCCGGUGAUCUAGCCAUGGGCAGGUUGAAGGUUGGGUAACACUAACUGGAGGACCGAACCGACUAAUGUUGAAAAAUUAGCGGAUGACUUGUGGCUGGGGGUGAAAGGCCAAUCAAACCGGGAGAUAGCUGGUUCUCCCCGAAAGCUAUUUAGGUAGCGCCUCGUGAAUUCAUCUCCGGGGGUAGAGCACUGUUUCGGCAAGGGGGUCAUCCCGACUUACCAACCCGAUGCAAACUGCGAAUACCGGAGAAUGUUAUCACGGGAGACACACGGCGGGUGCUAACGUCCGUCGUGAAGAGGGAAACAACCCAGACCGCCAGCUAAGGUCCCAAAGUCAUGGUUAAGUGGGAAACGAUGUGGGAAGGCCCAGACAGCCAGGAUGUUGGCUUAGAAGCAGCCAUCAUUUAAAGAAAGCGUAAUAGCUCACUGGUCGAGUCGGCCUGCGCGGAAGAUGUAACGGGGCUAAACCAUGCACCGAAGCUGCGGCAGCGACACUGUGUGUUGUUGGGUAGGGGAGCGUUCUGUAAGCCUGCGAAGGUGUACUGUGAGGUAUGCUGGAGGUAUCAGAAGUGCGAAUGCUGACAUAAGUAACGAUAAAGCGGGUGAAAAGCCCGCUCGCCGGAAGACCAAGGGUUCCUGUCCAACGUUAAUCGGGGCAGGGUGAGUCGACCCCUAAGGCGAGGCCGAAAGGCGUAGUCGAUGGGAAACAGGUUAAUAUUCCUGUACUUGGUGUUACUGCGAAGGGGGGACGGAGAAGGCUAUGUUGGCCGGGCGACGGUUGUCCCGGUUUAAGCGUGUAGGCUGGUUUUCCAGGCAAAUCCGGAAAAUCAAGGCUGAGGCGUGAUGACGAGGCACUACGGUGCUGAAGCAACAAAUGCCCUGCUUCCAGGAAAAGCCUCUAAGCAUCAGGUAACAUCAAAUCGUACCCCAAACCGACACAGGUGGUCAGGUAGAGAAUACCAAGGCGCUUGAGAGAACUCGGGUGAAGGAACUAGGCAAAAUGGUGCCGUAACUUCGGGAGAAGGCACGCUGAUACGUAGGUGAAGUCCCUUGCGGAUGGAGCUGAAAUCAGUCGAAGAUACCAGCUGGCUGCAACUGUUUAUUAAAAACACAGCACUGUGCAAACACGAAAGUGGACGUAUACGGUGUGACGCCUGCCCGGUGCCGGAAGGUUAAUUGAUGGGGUCAGCGCAAGCGAAGCUCUUGAUCGAAGCCCCGGUAAACGGCGGCCGUAACUAUAACGGUCCUAAGGUAGCGAAAUUCCUUGUCGGGUAAGUUCCGACCUGCACGAAUGGCGUAAUGAUGGCCAGGCUGUCUCCACCCGAGACUCAGUGAAAUUGAACUCGCUGUGAAGAUGCAGUGUACCCGCGGCAAGACGGAAAGACCCCGUGAACCUUUACUAUAGCUUGACACUGAACAUUGAGCCUUGAUGUGUAGGAUAGGUGGGAGGCUUUGAAGUGUGGACGCCAGUCUGCAUGGAGCCGACCUUGAAAUACCACCCUUUAAUGUUUGAUGUUCUAACGUGGACCCGUAAUCCGGGUUGCGGACAGUGUCUGGUGGGUAGUUUGACUGGGGCGGUCUCCUCCUAAAGAGUAACGGAGGAGCACGAAGGUUGGCUAAUCCUGGUCGGACAUCAGGAGGUUAGUGCAAUGGCAUAAGCCAGCUUGACUGCGAGCGUGACGGCGCGAGCAGGUGCGAAAGCAGGUCAUAGUGAUCCGGUGGUUCUGAAUGGAAGGGCCAUCGCUCAACGGAUAAAAGGUACUCCGGGGAUAACAGGCUGAUACCGCCCAAGAGUUCAUAUCGACGGCGGUGUUUGGCACCUCGAUGUCGGCUCAUCACAUCCUGGGGCUGAAGUAGGUCCCAAGGGUAUGGCUGUUCGCCAUUUAAAGUGGUACGCGAGCUGGGUUUAGAACGUCGUGAGACAGUUCGGUCCCUAUCUGCCGUGGGCGCUGGAGAACUGAGGGGGGCUGCUCCUAGUACGAGAGGACCGGAGUGGACGCAUCACUGGUGUUCGGGUUGUCAUGCCAAUGGCACUGCCCGGUAGCUAAAUGCGGAAGAGAUAAGUGCUGAAAGCAUCUAAGCACGAAACUUGCCCCGAGAUGAGUUCUCCCUGACUCCUUGAGAGUCCUGAAGGAACGUUGAAGACGACGACGUUGAUAGGCCGGGUGUGUAAGCGCAGCGAUGCGUUGAGCUAACCGGUACUAAUGAACCGUGAGGCUUAACCUUACAACUC
rnacentral:rRNA from 1 species